rnacentral:rRNA from 1 species
GACGUAGGGCGCGAGCGUUGUCCGGAUUUAUUGGGCGUAAAGAGCUCGUAGGCGGCUCGUUGCGUCGGCUGUGAAAACCCGCAGCUCAACUGUGGGCUUGCAGCUGAUACGGGCGGGCUGGGAUUCGGUAGGGGAGACUGGAAUUCCUGGUGUAGCGGUGGAAAUGACGCAGAUAUCAGGAGGAACACCGGUGGCGAAGGCGGGUCUCUGGGCCGAUACUGACGCUGAGGAGCGAAAGCGUGGGUAGCGAACAGG